CGACAACUUUUCUGCUUGUUUUUGCCGAGCAGCAGCUUCGUCGGCAGGAUAGACAAAUUGCACACUAUAAUAGAGGUCAGGCUGCUCUU
rnacentral:sRNA from 1 species